GGUUCUAUGGUAUAAUGGCCGACACUCUGGACUUUGAAUCCAGCAAUCCAAGUUCAAAUCUUGGUAGAAUCU
rnacentral:tRNA from 1 species